GUUCCGGUAGCUCAGUUGGAUAGAGCAGCCGCCUUCUAAGCGGCAGGUCGUGCGUUCGAGUCGCACCCGGGACG
rnacentral:tRNA from 1 species